rnacentral:lncRNA from 1 species
GUCACUCUGAAAAUAGAGACCAAGGUCCUUCAGCCGGCUAACCUGGGGCCCACCCUCACUCCCCACCACCCCCCUGCCCUUCCCAGCAAACUGCCGGCCGAAGUGAACCAUGUUCCUUCCGGACCCAGCAACCCAGCAGAUCGAACCAUUGCCCACUUGGCAACCACAAAACCAGAUACUCAUUCUCCUCGACCCACUGGGCCUACACCAGGCCCAUUCCCAAGGGCCUGCCAUCCCAGCAGCACGACAUCCACAGCGCUUUCCACCAAUGCAACUGUCAUGCUGGCUGCAGGCAUUCCAGUGCCACAGUUCAUCUCCAGCAUACACCCAGAGCAGUCUGUCAUCAUGCCCCCCCACAGCAUCACUCAGACCGUGUCUCUCGGUCACCUGUCCCAAGGCGAGGUGAGAAUGAGCACACCCACCUUGCCCAGCAUCACCUACAGCAUCCGGCCAGAGACCCUGCACUCUCCUCGGGCCCCUCUGCAGCCCCAACAGAUAGAAGCAAGGGCCCCACAGCGUGUGAGCACGCCCCAGCCAGCCACAACUGCUGUGCCCGCGCUGGCCACACAGCACCCUCCCGAGGAAGAAGUUCACUACCACCUCCCUGUGGCUCGAGCUGCAGCCCCUGUGCAGUCAGAAGUGCUGGUCAUGCAGUCCGAGUACCGGUUACACCCAUACACCGUGCCCCGAGACGUCCGGAUCAUGGUGCAUCCACAUGUGACUGCUGUCAGUGAACAGCCCAGGGCCACAGAGGGCGUGGUGAAGGUGCCACCAGCCAGCAAGGCCCCCCAGCAACUGGUGAAAGAAGUGGUUAAGACUUCAGAUGCCAAAGCAGUCCCAGCUCCAGCCCCCGUCCCGGUCCCUGUCCCUGUCCCGACCCCUGCCCCACCCCCUCAUGGUGAGGCCCGAAUUCUCACAGUCACCCCCAGCAGCCAGCUUCAGGGGCUGCCUCUGACCCCGCCU